UAGGAAAGUCAUAAAUAUAUAAAUUAAAAUAUAUUAUUAUCCAUCAUAAUAAUAACUGAUAGUAUAUAUAUCUUUAUUAAUGAGUUCCCGAAGGGAACCACCCGCGCCCCGUGGGGCACGGGUAGUUCCCCCCCUUACGGGGGGGAACGACGGAGUAGUGGGUAAUAUUAUAUUUUAUAAUAAAGUAAUAAAUAUAAAUAAAUAAUAAUGGAAAUAAAAUACUUAUAAAAUUAACAUUUAUAAAAUAAGUAUAGUAUAUAUCUUAAUAAAUAUAAAUUAAACAAAUAUAAAAAAAAUCCUUUUUUUAUAUAUAAUAGGUAUUACAAUCACUCAUAUUAAUAUGUUGAGGUUGAACCUAUAAUAAUAGUUAUAUAUAUAUAUUUAUAUUAUUCUUAUAUAAGUAUAUAAAGAAUAAUAUAUUAAUUAUAUAUUAAUUUUAAUAUAUAAUUAAAUAAUAUUACGUAUCCCCUGAAUUAUAAUGUAUAUAAUUCUAAUAAUCUUGGGGAGAGUUAUUAUAAUAUACAAAAAUAUGCUUAA
rnacentral:misc_RNA from 1 species